GACGAACGCUGGCGGCGGGCUUAACACAUGCAAGUCGAACGGAAAGGCCCUGCUUUUGUGGGGUGCUCGAGUGGCGAACGGGUGAGUAACACGUGAGUAACCUGCCCUUGACUUUGGGAUAACUUCAGGAAAUUGGGGCUAAUACCGGAUAGGAGCUCCUGCUGCAUGGUGGGGGUUGGAAAGUUUCGGCGGUUGGGGAUGGACUCGCGGCUUAUCAGCUUGUUGGUGGGGUAGUGGCUUACCAAGGCUUUGACGGGUAGCCGGCCUGAGAGGGUGACCGGCCACCUUGGGACUGAGAUACGGCCCAGACUCCUACGGGAGGCAGAAGUGGGGAAUAUGGCACAAUGGGCGGAAGCCUGAUGCAGCAACGCCGCGUGCGGGAUGACGGCCUUCGGGUUGUAAACCGCUUUCGCCUGUGACGAAGCGUGAGUGACGGUAAUGGGUAAAGAAGCACCGGCUAACUACGUG
rnacentral:rRNA from 1 species